GCUAGGUGAUAACUUGGCUGGAAGGAGAUCAAACAAUCCUUACAAGUUCUCGACAGACGACAGACGGGAAGGGGCCAAUGAGCCUACAUCAACUGCAUUCAUCAAGAGUAUUCGGAUGACUAUUCAAUGGUUCGCCCAUUGAAUCAUUGACGACCAAAGGGAGCGAGAAUAAUGAUGAUUAGAUCGCAUUUGCCCGGUUGCAAAUUUUCAACACAUUUUUAGCUUCGCCUUUUACAUCCGGGAUAAGCUAUGAAGAUUUUAUGAAUGGAUGUUACGUUUGGUGUGAGGAUAUAAGUACCAGUCUCGAGAGCAAUUUUGACUACCUAAUUCCAACAGUGUUAGAUGGUAUGAUACGGUUAGAGGUUGAAUUCUCAGCUCCACUCGAUAAGUUGAUUUUACGGUACACACAAACGUAUGUACUUGAACAUCCAUUCCAACAGCCAUCGCUUCUAAUCCACCUUGAUCUCUCUCAUUUUCUCCCUAGGUGAAGAGCUAGUUAUGCUCACCAUUGAAAAACAUUUAAUAAUGUGAGAAUAAUACUUUCUUCUACAAGUUUCUCCAAUUUCAAUUUUAUAGGUCAACACCCCAGCCUCAUCGAGAUUACUUGUGAUCGAUCCAUUUCGUUGUCUUAUCCCGUAUAGGAAGAAAACAACGACGACAAUUGACAAACGGGAAUUUAGUAAAAACACAUGAUUUUACCUGGUGUUCGUGGUUUUUAUUUCAUCGAUGUAAAACAAUCAACAGUAGACCGACUAAGUACGUAAAGGUAAAAAAAAAUAUUUGAUGUUCAGUUGAUAAAAU